UUUCCUUUCCUUUCUCUUCUUUUCUCUCAUGACUUUCUUUUCUCUUCUUUUAUUUUCUUUUGAUAAACUCGGGAACGGGGUGUAAGUCUUCCCCACGACUCCAUUCUUCUCGAUUUGCUUUAAGAACCGAAAUCGUUUUCCUUCAACAAUUACAACACACGAUUUACAGUUUUCCGGUGGUUCCUCUCAUAUAUCUCAACCUCUCUCUACCAUGUUCUCACCACCCACGAUCGCAUACGACUCAUCUUCAACCUUCGACCAUACUACUCUAUCUCCAACUCCCCCACUUCCAAAUGCCCCCACUCUAUCGGACCUCUGUAUAUAAACAUAGCCAUCAUACCUAAUUAUCAACAAAUCCAUCCCAAAAAAGCCUACAUAUCGGUUCUCUCAAUUCCUUGAACUCGAGAAUGAACUUUGGGCACAACCUUUAUUGAUUUCUCCUGAUUAGAUGGUGUAAAUCAAACGAUUAUUAUCAGUAUGGAAAAUUGAGCUGGAAAGUGUAACAACAAAAUUAGGUAUGAAAUAUUUGAUAGAAGUUUGGUUGUGGAAUCAACAUGGCUGCAAAAAUCAACUUGGCUCUAGGAAUCAACUUGAUUGUAGUUUUAACCUUUACUUAUUAGGACAUCAUUCUUUGAAAAGUCUACUUAAUUAUGUUAGUGAAAAUUCAUUUGUAUUUGAAUGACAUUGCUAUGAUUGGUAGAUUUUCAAAGUAAAAAGAUGUAAUAGGAAGAAAUGAGAGUGAGAUGUUAUGAUAAACAAAUCAAUGAAAGAACAUGGUUGU